GGGGGCGUAGCUCAGUUGGGAGAGCGUCGCGUUCGCAAUGCGAAUGUCAUCGGUUCGAUCCCGUUCGCCUCCA
rnacentral:tRNA from 1 species